CCUACGGGAGGCUGCAGUGGGGAAUAUUGCACAAUGGGGGAAACCCUGAUGCAGCGACGCCGCGUGAGUGAAGAAGUAUUUCGGUAUGUAAAGCUCUAUCAGCAGGGAAGAAAUAGCGACCUUUGGGUCGCCAGACGGUACCUGAUUAAGAAGCCCCGGCUAACUACGUGCCAGCAGCCGCGGUAAUACGUAGGGGGCAAGCGUUAUCCGGAUUUACUGGGUGUAAAGGGAGCGUAGACGGCAGGGCAAGUCUGGAGUGAAAGGCAGGGGCCCAACCCCUGGACUGCUCUGGAAACUGUCCGGCUGGAGUGCAGGAGAGGUAAGUGGAAUUCCUAGUGUAGCGGUGAAAUGCGUAGAUAUUAGGAGGAACACCAGUGGCGAAGGCAGCAUACCGGCGCUCAACUGACGCUCAUGCACGAAAGUGUGGGUAUCGAACAGGAUUAGAUACCCGAGUAGUC
rnacentral:rRNA from 1 species